CUUCUUUUUAAAACAAAAGUUGUUAAUUCGUUCGGACAACUGUACGAGUUGUUUUUUUUUGCUAUGUUGGCACUUUGAGGAAAAAUAAAGUUGGCAUGUUGUGCGGUUUGGGCACCCGGGCUCAAAAAGGUUCACCAUCACUGACCUAGGACAACAUACAACCUCUUUGUGCCACUGCGAACGCAAAGAAGAAGACACCAGUGUCCACUAUAAAUGAGUUUAGACUAAUCAAAAACAAGUUACGGUCUUGGCGUUCAGGGCCGGACUGGGAAUUAAAAGCAGCCCUG